ACGAACCGUACAAACGUUAUUCGGAAUCAUUGGGCUUAAAGGGUGCGUAGGCGGUGCGGAAAGUUGGGUGUGAAAUCCCUCGGCUCAACCGAGGAAUUGCGCCCAAAACUACCGUGCUCGAGGAAGACAGAGGUGAGUGGAACUUAGGGUGGAGCGGUGAAAUGCGUUGAUAUCCUAAGGAACACCAGUGGCGAAAGCGACUCACUGGGUCUUUUCUGACGCUGAGGCACGAAAGCUAGGGGAGCAAACGGGAUUAGAUACCCCGGUAGUCCUAGCCGUAAACGAUGAGCACUGGGCUGGAGGGUCCUCCAUAGCCUUCCAGCCGAAGCGAAAGUGUUAAGUGCUCCGCCUGGGGAGUAUGGUCGCAAGGCUG
rnacentral:rRNA from 1 species